GAUGAACGCUGGCGGCGUGCCUAAUACAUGCAAGUCGAGCGAACAGACGAGAGCUUGCUCCUCUGACGUUAGCGGCGGACGGGUGAGUAACACGUGGAUAACCUACCUAUAAGACUGGGAUAACUUCGGGAAACCGGAGCUAAUACCGGAUAAUAUAUUGAACCGCAUGGUUCAAUAGUGAAAGACGGUUUUGCUGUCACUUAUAGAUGGAUCCGCGCCGCAUUAGCUAGUUGGUAAGGUAACGGCUUACCAAGGCAACGAUGCGUAGCCGACCUGAGAGGGUGAUAGGCCACACUGGAACUGAGACACGGUCCAGACUCUUACGGGAGGCAGCAGUAGGGAAUCUUCCGCAAUGGGCGAAAGCCUGACGGAGCAACGCCGCGUGAGUGAUGAAGGUCUUCGGAUCGUAAAACUCUGUUAUUAGGGAAGAACAAAUGUGUAAGUAACUAUGCACGUCUUGACGGUACCUAAUCAGAAAGCCACGGCUAACUACGUG
rnacentral:rRNA from 1 species